rnacentral:rRNA from 1 species
AUUGAACGCUGGCGGCAUGCCUUACACAUGCAAGUCGAACGGCAGCACGGGUGCCUGCACCUGGUGGCGAGUGGCGAACGGGUGAGUAAUACAUCGGAACGUACCUUAUCGUGGGGGAUAACGCAGCGAAAGCUGUGCUAAUACCGCAUACGCCCUGAGGGGGAAAGCGGGGGAUCGCAAGACCUCGCGCGAUUAGAGCGGCCGAUGCCUGAUUAGCUUGUUGGUGGGGUAAAAGCCCACCAAGGCGACGAUCAGUAGCUGGUCUGAGAGGACGAUCGGCCACACGGGGACUGAGACACGGCCCAGACUCCUACGGGAGGCAGCAGUGGGGAAUUUUGGACAAUGGGGGCAACCCUGAUCCAGCAAUGCCGCGUGAGUGAAGAAGGCCUUCGGGUUGUAAAGCUCUUUUGUCAGGGAAGAAACACCGGCUCUAACACAGUCCGGGAAUGACGGUACCUGAAGAAUAAGCACCGGCUAACUACGUGCCAGCCGCCGCGGUAAAAC